ensembl:rRNA 5S_rRNA 5S ribosomal RNA
GCCUAUGGCCAUACUACCCUGAACGCACUGGACCUCAUCUGAUCUUGGAAGCUAAGCAGGGCUGGCCCUGGUGAGUACUUGGAUGGGAGAAAAUAAAUACCAGAGGAA